rnacentral:rRNA from 1 species
UACGUAGGGACCAAGCGUUGUUCGGAUUUACUGGGCGUAGAGGGCGCGUAGGCGGCUUAACAAGUCACUUGUGAAAUCUCCGGGCUUAACUCGGAACGGCCAAGUGAAACUGUCAAGCUAGAGUGCAGAAGGGGCAAUCGGAAUUCUUGGUGUAGCGAUGAAAUGCGUAGAUAUCAAGAGGAACACCUGAGGUGAAGACGGGUUGCUGGGCUGACACUGACGCUGAGGCGCGAAAGCCAGGGGAGCAAACGGG